rnacentral:tRNA from 1 species
AAGACUUUAGCUUAAUUAAAGUGUCUGGGUUGCAUUCAGGAGAUGUGGGGUAGAGUCCUGCAAGUCUUA